CGACUACAGUCAGAGUUUGAUCCUGGCUCAGGAUGAACGCUAGCGAUAGGCUUAACACAUGCAAGUCGAGGGGUAACAUGGGAGUAGCUUGCCACUUCUGAUGACGACCGGCGGAUGGGUGAGUAACGCGUAUGCAACUUGCCUCUUAGUGGGGAAUAACCCGGAGAAAUCCGGACUAAUACCGCAUACACUUAGUUAUCCGCUAUGAGAUGGGCCCGCGGCGCAUUAGCUAGUUGGUGAGGUAACGGCUCACCAAGGCGACGAUGCGUAGCCGACCUGAGAGGGUGAUCGGCCACAUUGGGACUGAGACACGGCCCAG
rnacentral:rRNA from 1 species